UACGGGGGGGGCAAGCGUUGUUCGGAAUUACUGGGCGUAAAGGGCUCGUAGGCGGCCAACUAAGUCAGACGUGAAAUCCCUCGGCUUAACCGGGGAACUGCGUCUGAUACUGGAUGGCUUGAGUUUGGGAGAGGGAUGCGGAAUUCCAGGUGUAGCGGUGAAAUGCGUAGAUAUCUGGAGGAACACCGGUGGCGAAGGCGGCGUUCUGGACUGUUUCUGACACUGAAUAACGAAAGCCAGGGGAGCAAACGGG
rnacentral:rRNA from 1 species